UACGUAGGGUGCAAGCGUUAAUCGGAAUUACUGGGCGUAAAGCGUGCGCAGGCGGCUUUGCAAGACAGAUGUGAAAUCCCCGGGCUUAACCUGGGAACUGCAUUUGUGACUGCAUGGCUGGAGUGCGGCAGAGGGAGGUGGAAUUCCACGUGUAGCGGUGAAAUGCGUAGAGAUGUGGAGGAACACCGACGGCGAAGGCAGCCUCCUGGGCCAACACUGACGCUCAUGCACGAAAGCGUGGGGAGCAAACAGG
rnacentral:rRNA from 1 species